rfam:Toxocara canis scaffold473, whole genome shotgun sequence.
GGCCAGAUGGCCGAGGGGUCUAAGGCGGUGGUUUAAGGCACCAGUCUCUGCGGAGGCGUGGGUUCGAAUACCACUAUCGUCA